CUUGCUCUGUCACCAGGCAAUCAUUAAUGAUAUUGGUUGUAAUUUUAGAGUUAUAAAAAAAAUAAGAAAAUGGGGAGAAAGAAAAGGGGGAAACAGGAAGAAGAUAAAGGAGAGAACAGAAAAAGAAGGAAAGAAGAAAGGCAGGAAAGCAGGAAGGAAGCAGCAAGGGAGGAAGAGAAGGAGGAAGACAGACAAUCACAAAGCAGACUUUUCAGCAUCUGGAUUCACAGCAAUAAGGAAUUACCAAUGGCAAUGCUAAGGAAAGAUGGCUGGCUAGAUUACUGCCAACAGGCUCUUCACUGAAAAAAAAAAGAAAGAAAAAGAAAAAAGAGAGAAACACUGAGCUGUUUGUUCAC
rnacentral:lncRNA from 10 species